AAAAUUUUAAACGGCCGCGUUAGCGUGAGCGUGCUAAGGUAGCGUAAUAAUUAGCCUUUUAAUUGGAGGCCAGUGAAUGGCAAGACUAGGAAUAUCUGUACUUUAUGUAUAAAAAAAACUUUUCUUCUAAGUGAAAAGACUUAGAUAACAAAGGAAGACGAAAAGACCCCGCGGAACUUCACCUUUUCUUAUACCUCUGCGUACCAAGCUUAAAAGUAUACAAGGUUUGAUUGGGGCAAUCUUGGAACCAAUAAAGCUUCCAAACUUCCGUAUAAAGCUAUACAAAAUUUAUUAAGGACCAAAAAGUAGUUACCCCGGGGAUAACAGCGUAAUCCAACUUAAGAGUACACAUCGAAAGUUGGGUUUGCGACCUCGAUGUUGGCUUAAGGACAUCC
rnacentral:rRNA from 1 species